GAUGAACGCUGGCGGCGUGCCUAAUACAUGCAAGUCGAGCGAACGGACGAGAAGCUUGCUUUUCUGAUGUUAGCGGCGGACGGGUGAGUAACACGUGGAUAACCUACCUAUAAGACUGGGAUAACUUCGGGAAACCGGAGCUAAUACCGGAUAAUAUUUUGAACCGCAUGGUUCAAAAGUGAAAGACGGUCUUGCUGUCACUUAUAGAUGGAUCCGCGCUGCAUUAGCUAGUUGGUAAGGUAACGGCUUACCAAGGCAACGAUGCAUAGCCGACCUGAGAGGGUGAUCGGCCACACUGGAACUGAGACACGGUCCAGACUCCUACGGGAGGCAGCAGUAGGGAAUCUUCCGCAAUGGGCGAAAGCCUGACGGAGCAACGCCGCGUGAGUGAUGAAGGUCUUCGGAUCGUAAAACUCUGUUAUUAGGGAAGAACAUAUGUGUAAGUAACUGUGCACAUCUUGACGGUACCUAAUCAGAAAGCCACGGCUAACUACGUGCCAGCAGCCGCGGUAAUACGUAGGUGGCAAGCGUUAUCCGGAAUUAUUGGGCGUAAAGCGCGCGUAGGCGGUUUUUUAGUCUGAUGUGAAAGCCCACGGCUCAACCGUGGAGGGUCAUUGGAAACUGGAAAACUUGAGUGCAGAAGAGGAAAGUGGAAUUCCAUGUGUAGCGGUGAAAUGCGCAGAGAUAUGGAGGAACACCAGUGGCGAAGGCGACUUUCUGGUCUGUAACUGACGCUGAUGUGCGAAAGCGUGGGGAUCAAACAGGAUUAGAUACCCUGGUAGUCCACGCCGUAAACGAUGAGUGCUAAGUGUUAGGGGGUUUCCGCCCCUUAGUGCUGCAGCUAACGCAUUAAGCACUCCGCCUGGGGAGUACGACCGCAAGGUUGAAACUCAAAGGAAUUGACGGGGACCCGCACAAGCGGUGGAGCAUGUGGUUUAAUUCGAAGCAACGCGAAGAACCUUACCAAAUCUUGACAUCCUUUGACAACUCUAGAGAUAGAGCCUUCCCCUUCGGGGGACAAAGUGACAGGUGGUGCAUGGUUGUCGUCAGCUCGUGUCGUGAGAUGUUGGGUUAAGUCCCGCAACGAGCGCAACCCUUAAGCUUAGUUGCCAUCAUUAAGUUGGGCACUCUAAGUUGACUGCCGGUGACAAACCGGAGGAAGGUGGGGAUGACGUCAAAUCAUCAUGCCCCUUAUGAUUUGGGCUACACACGUGCUACAAUGGACAAUACAAAGGGUAGCGAAACCGCGAGGUCAAGCAAAUCCCAUAAAGUUGUUCUCAGUUCGGAUUGUAGUCUGCAACUCGACUACAUGAAGCUGGAAUCGCUAGUAAUCGUAGAUCAGCAUGCUACGGUGAAUACGUUCCCGGGUCU
rnacentral:rRNA from 1 species